GCAGUGGUGGCUCAGUGGUAGAACUCUCCGCUUUCAUGCAGAAGGCCUAGGUUCGAUUCCCAGCUGAUGCU
rnacentral:tRNA from 1 species